rnacentral:tRNA from 1 species
GCGUGGGUAAAUGGUUCAGCUGUAAACUGAGUUUAAGGAAUAUUGUUUCCCCAACGUG